rnacentral:rRNA from 1 species
GACGAACGCUGGCGGCGUGCUUAACACAUGCAAGUCGAACGGAAAGGCCCUGCUUUUGUGGGGUGCUCGAGUGGCGAACGGGUGAGUAACACGUGAGUAACCUGCCCUUGACUUUGGGAUAACUUCAGGAAACUGGGGCUAAUACCGGAUAGGAGCUCCUGCUGCAUGGUGGGGGUUGGAAAGUUUCGGCGGUUGGGGAUGGACUCGCGGCUUAUCAGCUUGUUGGUGGGGUAGUGGCUUACCAAGGCUUUGACGGGUAGCCGGCCUGAGAGGGUGAACGGCCCCAUUGGGACUGAGAUACGGCCCAGACUCCCACGGGAGGGAGGAGUGGGGAAUAUUGCAAAAUGGGCGGAAGGCUGAUGCAGCAACGCCGGGUGCGGGAUGACGGCCUUCGGGUUGGAAACCGCUUUCGCCUGUGACGAAGCGUGAGUGACGGUAAUGGGUAAAGAAGCACCGGCUAACUACGUG